AACACAAAAAAACAAAAUAAAACAACCAAAACAAUUAAUAGGCAUGAUCCUUUUUUUUUUUCCUUCAACAUGCCAUAAUAUUUGACUUUCUAGAUUGGCAGCACCAUAGGAAACUCAGCACUUGGAUAAAGAGCAGUGCAUACUGUGAAUAUGGGACAAAUUUUGAAGCUGUAAUUCAGGUUGUCCAGCCUGUCUGUCCAUCCAGCCUGGAUCCUGGGAAGCCUGCCGGUGAAGACAUGACUCUCCAAGAGGAACUGCUGAAGUCACUUGAAGGAUGUCACACAAUGAGAUAUUCCAUGGGAGCCUGCUGCCUAUGGCUGACACUUUGUUGAUAAGCCUUGUUUUUAAUUUCUCUGCUUUUCACCCCAAGGAAAUGUAAGAAUAUUUUCACACAUGUAGCGUUUCCAAGAAAAUGUUAAGGCAGCAUCAAGUAUUUGGGAGACAAAUUAAGGAAGAUUUAUACAAGACAAGCCAGCAGAAAGAAUGAUGAGAAAAACAGUGGUGAGAGAAGAAAUAUUUCUGAGAAUUCUAGAUAUUCCCACUGUUGCUAUCAGUGCGUGGCCUACAUUGUCACACUUGUGUGUUAAAUA
ensembl:lncRNA